ACUUAAAUAAUUUAAUAAAAAAUAUUGAUUUGUGGGAUCAAAUAUAUGGUGAAAAUCAUUUUAGGUU
rnacentral:tRNA from 1 species